rnacentral:rRNA from 1 species
UUGAAACUCAAAGGAAUUGACGGGGACCCGCACAAGCGGUGGAGCAUGUGGUUUAAUUUGAAGCAACGAGAAGAACCUUACCAAAUCUUGACAUCCUUUGACCACUCUAGAGAUAGAGUUUUCCCCUUCGGGGGACAAAGUGACAGGUGGUGCAUGGUUGUCGUCAGCUCGUGUCGUGAGAUGUUGGGUUAAGUCCCGCAACGAGCGCAACCCUUAAACUUAGUUGCCAGCAUUUAGUUGGGCACUCUAGGUUGACUGCCGGUGACAAACCGGAGGAAGGUGGGGAUGACGUCAAAUCAUCAUGCCCCUUAUGAUUUGGGCUACACACGUGCUACAAUGGACAAUACAAAGGGCAGCUAAACCGCGAGGUCAUGCAAAUCCCAUAAAGUUGUUCUCAGUUCGGAUUGUAGUCUGCAACUCGACUACAUGAAGCUGGAAUCGCUAGUAAUCGUAGAUCAGCAUGCUACGGUGAAUACGUUCCCGGGUCUUGUACACACCGCCCGUCACACCACGAGAGUUUGUAACACCCGAAGCCGGUGGAGUAACCAUUUAUGGAGCUAGCC